UGGCCCGGACGGGGAAUUAUAUUCCUCGAACCCAGGAUCCAGAACUUUCAGCAGUCAGGGUGGUGCACCGGUAAGUUCUGGAUCCUGGGUUCGAGGAAUAUAAUUCCCCGUACGGGCCA
rnacentral:miRNA from 1 species